GUCCUUGGUGGCAUUUAUCAGAGCCUUGGAGAAUCAUGGAUUGUCACCCUCUCGCCAUGGCAAGCUCCUAGAGACCUGGAAUCCCACUUUGCUGAUGGCAGCAGCCCCGUGGCAGCAGAGGCCGGCACUGGCCGGGCGAUGACAAGACAGAAGCACAGAGAGGUUAAGCAGCAAGCCCAAGGUCACACAGCCAGCAAGUGAGCAAGCCAGAAUUCAGCCUGACUUGGGGAUGUUUCUGUCUUCCUGGACUGAGCAUAAACUCCUGAAGCAGCAGGCAAGACUGGAAACAAACCAUUCACCCUCUCUGCAGUAUGUACAUUACAGUAUCCACGUCUUAGAAGGGCAGGAACCACACUUCUAAGGAACAAUGCAGAUGUCUCCACGGCUCUACACUGUGCUCCCUCCGGUUGUUAUCCACUGAGCUCAACAACUCUUUGGCCACCAGGUUCUAUGCAUCUAUUGUGUGCCCGGCCCUGUUACAGGACCUGCAGGUACAAGCUCUGCCUUCCAGGCCCUUCAGGAGAAACCUGAGGCCCAGAGAGGUAGCAUGACCGACCCAAAGUCACACAGCCAAUUAGUUGAAGAAUCAGGGCAAGCACCCUGGUGUCCUGACUCCAGAACCCCAUGCCGUCACUCAGCGUCACCUUGACCAUGAGGCAUGGUCGAGGAAGGAGUCUUGAGGAUGUGCUGUAAGUGUUUCAGCAGAAGUGGAGGGAAGGGAGUCUAACUGCUGGAGCAGCCCAUGUCAAGGCCAUGAACGUCUUUGCUGGAGAACAGGGAGCUGUAAGGUGCUCACAGAGGUUUGGUGGGACACAGGAUGAGGUCGUUUACUCAUAUUGAAUAUUUGCAUUCGGCUCUUAUUUUUAAUGCUCUCUCAUUCAACUUUAUGUUGCUAAUGUUUUUCCUUGUUUCUCUUGUAUGUUUCUAAUGUUUAUUUUAAAAUCUUGGUCUUGGGCUGGGUGCAUUGGCUCAUGCCUGUAAUCCCAGCAUUUUAGGAAGCUGAGACAGGCUGAUCACAUGAGGUCAGGAGUUCCAGACCAGCCUGGCCAAUGUGGUAAAACCCCAUCUCCACAAAAAUACAAAAAUUAGCCAGGCAUGAUGGCAGGUGCCUAUAAUCCCAGCUUCUCGGGAGGCUGAGGCAGGAGAAUCACUUGAACCUGGGAGGCAGAGGUUGCAGCAAGCCGAGAUCACACCACUGCACUCCAGCCUGGGUGUCAAAGCGAGGCUCCAUCUCAAAAAAUUAAAAAUUAAAAAAAUAUAUCGGUAUUUUUAUACUAAUAUCCCCUACAGUUUUCCUUUUGAAUUCACUGUGCUCUGGCUAGUGGUGGGGCAGAAGCUGGGGGAAUCCACACACUCCUUGCUUUUAAAACAAACAGAGAAGGAAGACACGUGGCUCCUGGGUCAUCCUUCUCAACAUCAAUCCCAAGUAACGACAGAGCAAAACAUCACUAAAUCUAGGCAAUGGGCUGGGUGCGGUGGCUCACGCCUGUAAUUCCAGCACUUGGGAAGGCUGAGGUGGGUGGAUCAUGAGGUCAGGAGUUCAAGACCAGCCAAGAUGGUGAAACCUGUCUCUACUAAAAACACAAAAAAAUUAGUCAGGUGCGGUGGCAUGUGCCUGUAGCUACUCGGGAGGCUGAGGCAGAAGAAUGGCCUGAACCCACGAGGUGGAGGUUGCAGUAAGCCAAGAUCGCACCACUGCACUCCACCCUGGGAUACAGAGUGAGACUCCGUCUCAAAAAAAAAAAAAAAAAAAAAAAACCUAGGCAAUGAUGGGGAAACAGAAUCUCCUAGGGAGAUGGAAGGGAGUUUUAAACUGGUGCGUGUAGGGUGGUGGGGAGGGGUUGCUGCAGCCAGGAGAAAAGGCAGGUCAUGGUCAUUAGGCUGAAGAGAAUAUUACAGAACAGAAAACAGGGUUGAGUUCUCCUCUUUUCUCUUUGUGCCAAGACCAGGCCCCCAUACACACCCACUGUCCUGGGACAACUAAGGUCAGAGCUGGGUGUGGGGCUGGCAUUCAGCCCCACAGCCGCCCUCUGGACCUGUCUCUUGGCAAAGCUCACAUCUGCCACCCUAGACUUCAGUCUCCAGUGUCAGCUCUGGGUCUUGUUGAAACUCAAUCCUCCUCUUUGCUGACUCAGUGUCCUCCCAGAAUCCUCUUCCUUUUCCCAGAGCCCCUUUGGCUCUCUCUCUCCCAGGUCCUGUGAGCCCCAGAUUAUCCAACCCCCCUUUGUUCUGCCGCUUCAAUUAACUUCUGGCCCAUCACUAAGCCCACAUUUGCAUGAAACUCACAAAAAGCGUCCUGCAUAAAGCAGCCCAGGCGGAUGGCACAGGCAUCUGAUGAGAUGACGUCAAAGCAUGGGCUGCAGUGCAGCGCUUUGGGAGGCCAAGGCAGGAGGCUCGCCUGAGCCCAAGAGCUUGAGACCAGCCUGGGCAACAAAGUAAGACCCUAUCUCGUACUUUGUUGAGGAAAAAAAAAAAUCAAAAAUCAAAUAAAAAAAUUGGCUGGGCUCUGUGGCUCACAACUGUAAUACCAGCACUUUGGGAGGCCAAAGUGGGUGGAUCACUUGAAGCCAGGAGUUGGAGACCAGCCUGGCUGACAUGGCAGAACCGUAUCUCUACUAAAAAUUCAAAAAUUAGCCGGGCAUGGUGGCGGGUGCCUGUAAUCUCGGCUACUUGGGAGGCUGAGGCACGAGAAUCGCUUGAACCUGGGAGACAGAGGUUGCAGUGAGCUGAGGUUGCACCACUGCACUCCAGCCUGGGUGACAGAGUAAGACUCCGUCUCAAAAAAACCAAAAUCAAAAAAUUAUCUGGAUGUGGUAGUACACGCCUGUAAUCCCAGCUACUUGGGGGACUGAGGCAGGGAGAGUGCUUGAACCCAGGAUGUCAAGGCUACAGUGAGCCAUGUUCGUGCCACUGCACUCCAGCCUGGGUGACAGAGUGAGACCAUGUCUGAAAAAAAAAAACCAUUCAAAACAUGGCAGCAAACAGUGUGGAACUGCAGGGACUGCAGGAAUUGAGAGGGGACCCCACAGUCACGACACAGGGCAUCUACCAUCGCUCCACCAUCCCUUAGACCCUGAGUCUGAAGAAUUCUGACCUACGUAUGCAGCCCCUUCCCCUCACUGUCUCUCUCUGGGGUCUGAAAGAAAGGCCCAAUCCCGUGGAGGGAGAAUGGUGAGGUCAACCCUAGUGAAAAACCAAGGGGUGCUGACGUCCAGGGGUUCCUGUCCUGGCACUGUCGUCUCUUUGGACUUAUUGGAGCUGGGAGACUAAGGUCAGCCUUAAACUCUUACCAAAGACACAGAACCAAACAGAAUAGCUGAAACCCCCCACGGAAUAAGCUCACAAGUUAACAAACAGGGUAUCCGGCCGGGCACGGUGGCUCACGCUUAUAAUCCCAGCACUUUGGGAGGUUGAGGUGGGUGACAAGGUCAGGAGUUCAAGACCAGUCUGGCCAACAUGAUGAAAACCCAUCUCUACUCAAAAUAUAAAAAUUAGCCGGGCAUGGUGGCAGGUACCUGUAAUCCCAGCUACUCAGGAGGCUGAGGCAGGAGAAUCGCUUGAACCCGGGAGGCGGAGGUUGCAAUGAGCCGAGACUGUACCAUUACACUCCAGCCUGGAAGACAGAGUGAGACUCCGUCUCAAAAAAAAAGAGCCGGGCGUGGUGGCUCACACCUGUAAUCCAAGCACUUUGGAGGCCAAGGUGGGUGGAUCACCUAGGUCAGGAGUUCAAGACCAGCCUGACCAAUAUAGUGAAACCCGAUCUUUAAAGAAAAAAGGGAAAAAAAAAAAACCCAAAAAAACAGUAUCCAAGGAGCACAAUGACUUCAAAAGAAAGCCAAACUGAUUAGAAAUACCGCUGGAAUCAGCCAUAUUAGAUCAGACCUAGCAAAAACCGUAAUUGCCUAGGUCUAGUGAUGUCUUGCUUUUCAGUAUUUGGGAUUAAUUUGAGAGGGAGCAUCCAAGAGCCAUAUCUUCCCUCACUGAUAAUUUUAAGGGCAACAAAGUGCAUGGGCCCUCCAACUCCAGCCCACCCCACCCCACCACCAGCCACAGCACAA